rnacentral:rRNA from 1 species
GCAGAGCAUCCUACGGGAGGCAGCAGUGGGGAAUAUUGCACAAUGGGCGCAAGCCUGAUGCAGCCAUGCCGCGUGUAUGAAGAAGGCCUUCGGGUUGUAAAGUACUUUCAGCAGUGAGGAAGGUGGGUAUGUUAAUAGCAUAUUCAUUUGACGUUAGCUGCAGAAGAAGCACCGGCUAACUCCGUGCCAGCAGCCGCGGUAAUACGGAGGGUGCGAGCGUUAAUCGGAAUUACUGGGCGUAAAGCGCAUGCAGGUGGUUUGUUAAGUCAGAUGUGAAAGCCCGGGGCUCAACCUCGGAAUUGCAUUUGAAACUGGCAAACUAGAGUACUGUAGAGGGGGUAGAAUUUCAGGUGUAGCGGUGAAAUGCGUAGAGAUCUGAAGGAAUACCGGUGGCGAAGGCGGCCCCCUGGACAGAUACUGACACUCAGAUGCGAAAGCGUGGGGAGCAAACAGGAUUAGAUACCCUGGAG